UUGAGUGUAAAAUAUGAAACAGGGAUAGCCACGUAAAUACAAAAAAAACCAAUGAAAAAUUAUAAAUAUGAAAUCGUGUGAUUGGAAAAAAGGAAAAACGGUAGCCCGCGGUUAGCACGAUUGGAGAGCACGCCAUCACCAGAUAAAAGAGUAACCAUCAGGGAGCACAAUCGGAGACUGGAGACAACGUGGGAGAUGAUCGGAGUAGAUAUGGCCUCAUCGCUAUUCACCCGUCUCUCAGUUUACAAUUCAUUUGAAAAGAGAAAACUCACACGGGAAGAGGAGCAGAGCAAACUCAAACCCAGAGUGAGGGAAAGAUUAGUAUCAAAAUCGGUUGCAGAUUCACGUUUCUAAACAAACCUCUCGCCAACGAUUCUAUCUGGGUUUAAUAAAUCAAGCUUAAUGCCUUCAAAGAGUUUGGAGGGACUUUACAUACUUGGGUAGUUUCUAUAUAUCUUGAAGGAAUCGGAAAACUUUGGUUACAGGUAUGGUUUGGUGAUUUCAUUCAUUCUUGGUUUCACGUUUUCAGUUGAUCAUAGUAACCAAUUGCUGCUCAUGAACUGUUCGCUCAAUUGGGAUUUUCCUUUUUUUUUUUAGUGGUUACCGCUUGGUUUUCUUUCAAUUGUUGCAAGUGAAUUAAAUGGGAGAUUUCUGAACAUUGUGAGAAAAUGAUGUCUGCUAAUGUUGGUUCCAGGUAUGAAUGGGAGAUGCUUUUCAUUGAUGACCGUUGUUAGGCCUUUUCAUACAUUAUAUCCGCUGCCAAUUGUAUCUGGAUUCAAUUGCCAGAUACAGAUUAUAUAAAAGGAGAAACGCAGUCCAUAAAGACGAAAAGCGGAAAAUCAAAGAAAAAGGAAAAGAAGAAUAUCAACCAUCAUUAUUCGGUUCAAAAUUUCAAAUUCCGGUAUAACUUGCCAAUUGUUCUUUGGAUAUAUAGAUUGCAAUUCUGCACUUGAUUGCAAUUCGAUCUGCUCUAGCAUAGAUUGCACUUAUGUGUGAGCCUUGCUGAUUUAGUUUUUGGUUAAUCAAUAUUCUUUGUCAAUGGUUAAGUAAUUUGCUUGAAUCGGUUCAAAAUUCAUACUUUGAUUUUGUGUUUCUUCUUGCAGAGAGUAGGCAACUGAUGGUAUGAAUAAAACAAAUGCAGAAGUUUUACUGAAUUUUUUUUUUUUUUUUGAUGAACAGUUUACAGAAUUAUGUUUGUAGUGUUUAAGUGGUGAGAAAACAUUUCAUUCCUUGCUUCAAUGAAUAGAAAACAUAUAUUCAAUCUUGUGAGUUUGUGCUUUUUAAAUGUUGUUGCUUUCUUGGUGCAGGUAAUUGCAAUUAGUUCUUUUGGGUUAGUUGUUCAAUAUGUCAACUCUUAGUCCUACUUCUCGAUCAUAAUUUUUUCUUUUUCUCUUUCGACCUGCAAUCCAUCAUUAUUUUUUCAUUUUCUCUUUGAUUUUCAAUCCAUUUAGAAGGCAGAUAAUUACAGAAAAAACCUCGAUGUUUCAACAACUUAAAUAUUUGUUUCCGUAUUUUUUGUUUUAACAGGAUCAAAGUGAAAGUUAUGUUGCACGUCUCUAUUAUUUGGUCAGUUUCAAGAUCAGAAGAGAUGUUCAUUUUUGUUACUUUCUUUGGUCUUCAUUGAAGGGGAAACAGACGUUCUAUUAGCUAAUUGCUUGCGAGAUUGAUAUUUCUAUCUUUCCUGGUAGAUGGUGAAUCUUUGCUCUUCCGAAUGACUCUGCGUUUUACAUGGUAGUCAUUAGGCUUUUAUUUGUCUAUUAGUUUGUUUGUGUGCAAAUAGUGUGUUUCAUAGGGUUGAGAAGACUUCUUUGAUGAAUCGGUUUGUUUUAGUGAUUAGCUGUUUAAUUUCAAAGGUAUUGUGUUAUGUUGUUUAGAUAGAGCAAUUUUGCUUUUUCUUGACCAUAAUUCGUAUAGAUAUGUUAAUAAAAAGUUCAGCAAUCAAUAAGAGGUGACUACUGGAGCCGAUUUCUUGACAAAAGAAGUGCAGUUCGAAGAUAGGAUCUUCACCAUUCAGGUCUUUUUAGUCUUAGUUCAUCUUAUUGAUUCAAGCAUUCAAAUAUUACCGCACAAGGAUGUUUCUCGGUUUAAAUGUGGGGGAUGUGUUGGAAAGGAACUUUGUUGGGUGCGUGUUCCUUUUUGUCUUUGAAUUUGUUGUUUCAAACUUUCAAUCAGAAUGUAUGGUUCAUACUUUAGAGACAAACUUGAUAGAUGGUGCGAUAAAAGAGUUCGAACCUUAGGAUAUUAGCAAUAAGUAUAUUGCAUUAUUUUUGGUUGUUUGAUUAAGUGUAGUUGGGAUUUGCUGUCAUUUACUUCUUCUUCUUCUUCUUCUUCCUUUUUUUUUUUUUUUUUUUUGCAUUUUCAUUAGUGAGAAUACUUCUGCUUAAAUUGUA